rnacentral:rRNA from 1 species
AGAGUUUGAUCCUGGCUCAGGACGAACGCUUGCGGCGUGCCUAAGAAAUGCAAGUCGAGCGAGGCGAGGGGGCUUGCUCCCGAAGCCUAGCGGCGAACGGUCGCGUAACACGUAAGCAACCUGCCCCUAAGUGGGGGAUAGCCCGCCGAAAGGCGGAUUAAUACCGCAUGUGGAUGCAUCAAUGCAUGUUGUGUGCAUCUAAAGCAGCGAUGCGCUUAGGGAUGGGCUUGCGGCCUAUCAGCUAGUUGGUGAGGUAACGGCUCACCAAGGCGACGACGGGUAGCUGGUCUGAGAGGAUGGUCAGCCGGACUGGGACUGAGAUACGGCCCAGACUCCUACGGGGGGCAGCAAUUAGGAAUCUUGCGCAAUGGGCGAAAGCCUGACGCAGCGACGCCGCGUGCAGGAUGAAGGCCUUCGGGUUGUAAACUGCUUUUAUCAGGGAAGAAGAAAGUGACGGUACCUGAUGAAUAAGCCCCGGCUAACUACGUGCCAGCAGCCGCGGUAAUACGUAGGGGGCGAGCGUUGUCCGAAUUCAUUGGGCGUAAAGCGCGCGUAGGCGGACUUUUAAGUUGGGGGUGAAAUCUCAGGGCUCAACCCUGAAACUGCCUCCAAAACUGGAGGUCUUGAGGUAUGGAGAGGGAAGUGGAAUUCCUGGUGUAGCGGUGAAAUGCGUAGAUAUCAGGAGGAACACCCGUGGCGAAGGCGGCUUCCUGGCCAUAUCCUGACGCUGAGGUGCGAAAGCCAGGGGAGCGAACGGGAUUAGAUACCCCGGUAGUCCUGGCCGUAAACGAUGGAUACUAGGUGUUGGUGGUAUCGACCCCACCAGUGCCGCAGCUAACGCAAUAAGUAUCCCGCCUGGGGAGUACGGCCGCAAGGUUGAAACUCAAAGGAAUUGACGG